CAAAUCACGCUGAAAACACCGGUUCUCGUUCGAUCACCGAAGUUAAGCAUCGUAGAGCCAGGUCAGUACUUAGAUGGGGACCGCUUGGGAACACCUGGUACUGUAAG